UACGUAGGGAGGCAAGCGUUGUCCGGAAUCAUUGGGCGGUAAAGAGCGCGUAGGUGGCUUUAUAAGUCCGUUGUGAAAGUCAAAGGCUCAACCUUUGAAAGCCGAUGGAUACUGUGAAGCUAGAGUACGGAAGAGGCGAGUGGAAUUCCUGGUGUAGCGGUGGAAUGCGCAGAUAUCAAGGAGGAACACCAAUAGCGAAGGCAGCUCGCUGGGACGUUACUGACACUGAGGCGCGAAAGCGUGGGG
rnacentral:rRNA from 1 species